rnacentral:rRNA from 1 species
UGGGGAAUUUUCCGCAAUGGGCGAAAGCCUGACGGAGCAAUACCGCGUGAGGGAGGAAGGCUCUUGGGUUGUAAACCUCUUUUCUCAGGGAAGAAUCCUGACGGUACCUGAGGAAUCAGCAUCGGCUAACUCCGUGCCAGCAGCCGCGGUAAUACGGAGGGUCCAAGCGUUGUCCGGAAUUACUGGGUGUAAAGGGUGUGCAGGCGGACGGGUAAGUCAGUGGUGAAAGCCCGCAGCUCAACUGCGGAAGUGCCAUUGAAACUACUCGUCUUGAGUCCCGGAGGGGUCAUCGGAAUUCGUGGUGUAGCGGUGAAAUGCGUAGAUAUCACGAGGAACACCAGAAGCGUAAGCGGAUGACCGGACGGUGACUGACGCUCAGGCACGAAAGCGUGGGGAGCAAACAGGAUUAGAUACCCCCGUAGUCC